CAGGAGUGAAGCUGUUCUCUGAUGGACUGAAGGAUCCACACUGUACACUGGAGAUACUGAGAACAGAGUCUGAAGAGAGUCUGAUUGGACUCCAGUGAGAGACCCAGAAGGAAGCGGAGGAACAGGUCCAGGUGUCCAUUCUUACUCUGUAAGGCCUUGUCCACUGAACUCCUGAGGAGAUCAAGCAUGUUUGACUUCCUGAAAAGAUCACACAGGAUCACUGAAGCACCGUACCUCUGUUACCUGGUCUACACAGUCAGGAGGGAUCUGAUUGGC